UUUGCAACGGCGAAUCAGUACGACCAGCUCCUGCUGAACUCCCCCAGGACCGGAAGGUAGCAAGGGUAGGUGGUUGAGCGGUGCGAUACUGGUUCGCUUUUUU
rfam:Cytophagales bacterium MC1A Contig_23, whole genome shotgun sequence.